AGUGGCGCACGGGUGAGUAACGCGUGGGUAAUCUACCUUCGAAUUGGGGAUAACGUUGCGAAAGCGACGCUAAUACCGAAUAAUAUCCAUUAAUCUUUGGGUUUUUGGAUCAAGGGUGGCCUCUACAUGUAAGCUACUGUUUGAAGAUGAGCCCGCGUACCAUUAGCUUGUUGGCAGGGUAAUGGCCUACCAAGGCAACGAUGGUUAGCUGGUCUGAGAGGAUGAUCAGCCACACUGGAACUGACACACGGUCCAGACUCCUACGGGAGGCAGCAGUGAGGAAUUUUGCGCAAUGGGGGAGACCCUGACGCAGCAACGCCGCGUGAGUGAUGAAGGCUUUCGGGUCGUAAAGCUCUGUCAAGUGGGAAGAACUUAUAUAAUAUUAAUACUAUUGUAUACUGACGGUACCACUGAAGGAAGCACCGGCUAACUCCGUGCCAGCAACCGCGGUAAUACGGGGGGUGCAAGCGUUAUUCGGAAUCAUUGGGCGUAAAGAGCACGUAGGCGGCUUGGUAAGUCAGAUGUGAAAGCCCGGGGCUUAACCCCGGAAGUGCAUUUGAUACUGUCAAGCUUGAGUAUGGGAGAGGGAAGUGGAAUUCCUGGUGUAGAGGUGAAAUUCGUAGAUAUCAGGAGGAACACCGGUGGCGAAGGCGACUUCCUGGACCAAUACUGACGCUGAGGUGCGAAGGCGUGGGUAGCAAACAGGAUUAGAUACCC
rnacentral:rRNA from 1 species